AGCGAACGCUGGCGGCAGGCUUAACACAUGCAAGUCGAGCGGGCACUUCGGUGUCAGCGGCAGACGGGUGAGUAACACGUGGGAACGUACCCUUCGGUUCGGAAUAACGCUGGGAAACUAGCGCUAAUACCGGAUACGCCCUUUUGGGGAAAGGUUUACUGCCGAAGGAUCGGCCCGCGUCUGAUUAGCUCGUUGGUGGGGUAAUGGCCUACCAAGGCGACGAUCAGUAGCUGGUCUGAGAGGAUGAUCAGCCACACUGGGACUGAGACACGGCCCAGACUCCUACGGGAGGCAGCAGUGGGGAAUAUUGGACAAUGGGCGCAAGCCUGAUCCAGCCAUGCCGCGUGAGUGAUGAAGGCCUUAGGGUUGUAAAGCUCUUUUGUCCGGGACGAUAAUGACGGUACCGGAAGAAUAAGCCCCGGCUAACUUCGUG
rnacentral:rRNA from 1 species